CCUACGGGAGGCAGCAGUGGGGAAUAUUGCACAAUGGGGGGAACCCUGAUGCAGCGACGCCGCGUGGGUGAAGGAGUAUUUCGGUAUGUAAAGCCCUAUCAGCAGGGAAGAACAAUGACGGUACCUGACUAAGCAGCACCGGCUAAAUACGUGCCAGCAGCCGCGGUAAUACGUAUGGGGCAAGCGUUAUCCGGAUUUACUGGUUGUAAAGGGAGCGCAGGCGGCGCGUUAAGCCUGGUGUGAAAGUCCGCGGCCCAACCGCGGGACUGCCUUGGGAACUGGCUCGCUCGAGUGCCGGAGGGGUAGGCGGAAUUCCUAGUGUAGCGGUGAAAUGCGUAGAUAUUAGGAGGAACACCAGUGGCGAAGGCGGCCUACUGGACGGUGACUGACGCUGAGGCUCGAAAGCGUGGGGAGCAAACAGGAUUAGAUACCCCAGUAGUC
rnacentral:rRNA from 1 species